AGAUUGAACGCUGGCGGCAUGCCUUACACAUGCAAGUCGAACGGCAGCACGGGAGCAAUCCUGGUGGCGAGUGGCGAACGGGUGAGUAAUACAUCGGAACGUGCCCAAUCGUGGGGGAUAACGCAGCGAAAGCUGUGCUAAUACCGCAUAAGAUCUACGGAUGAAAGCGAGGGGAUCGCAAGACCUUGCGCGAAUGGAGCGGCCGAUGGCAGAUUAGGUAGUUGGUGAGGUAAAGGCUCACCAAGCCUUCGAUCUAGUAGCGUGGUCUGAGAGGACACCAGCCACGACGUGGGACUGACGACACGG
rnacentral:rRNA from 1 species